AACGUAGGGGGCGAGCGUUGUCCGGAAUUACUGGGCGUAAAGGGAGCGCAGGCGGUGACUUAAGUCUGAUGUGAAAGCCCACGGCUCAACCGUGGAAGGUCAUUGGAAACUGGGUCACUUGAAUAUAGAAGAGGAGAGUGGAAUUCCAUGUGUAGCGGUGAAAUGCGUAGAUAUAUGGAGGAACACCAGUGGCGAAGGCGACUCUCUGGUCUGUAACUGACGCUGAGGCUCGAAAGCGUGGGGAGCAAACAGGAUUAGAUACCCCU
rnacentral:rRNA from 1 species